CACUGCUUAUAUGGUAGAGCACUUGAAGAAUUUGCAAGGGUUUUACGUUUUUUUAGUAAAGAAAUGCAAGAAUGCCUAUGGUUUUGCACUGAUUUCAAUUAUCAGAAGGCCAUUUCAUACUUCGGAAGUUUCAAAGACAAGUUUCAGUGCUCAUAUGUGGCAGACCUCCAGGUUUUGCCUGGCAGCAGCUGGGCAGAUUUUGGGUUCUGAUUGCCUCCUUUAAAGUGGACAGCUUGAACUAAGAAUACACAUUGGCAGAUGAAACACAACUGGUUUCUCUUCAGGUCUAUCAAUUUAGAUUCAAAAACUACCAGUGCUGCAGAAGUUAUUACAACAGUAUUAUGCAGAAGGAAAUUAGCUACAAGAUGGGGAAUUGACCUGAUUUCUGCCGCUUCAUAUUGCAAUUCUUCCUAUUCAUUUAAGAUCUGUAAUAAUAAUUGUGUGGUCC